AUUUAAUAACGGAAACAUUCCAAGAAUUACCAAAAUGUGAGAGAGACAUGAAGUGAGCACAUACUGUUAGAAAGAUGGUGCUGACAGACUUGCUCCAUGCAGGGCUGCCACAAACCUCCACUUUGUAAGAAACAUAUGAUACCUGUGAAGUGCAAUAAAGUGAUACACAUGAAAACAGUUGUGCCUGUUACAUGACAUAUAUACACACAUAUAUAUAACUUGAGAAUUUAGGAAGCGACAUGUCAAACAGCUUAUAACACUAUAGUGUACUAUCCAAGUGUUUGAGACACAGUUAAAAUAAUCAGUAAUGAGGACAAUGACAGAAUACCUAGUAAAUCUUAAUUCCCUAUCAAACCAUGCGCAAAAAUGAGUCUUAGUAAAUUCAGCAUUGUUGCCCUAUGUCAGGGACAAAGUACAUGUAUUUUGCAUAGAUGGACAUGUGACAAAAUAGAAAUUGGUUUUCUGAGACAGGAUUCUCCACAGCUUCUGCAGGAGGGAGAAUGUAACUGGAUACCAGGAUUGCAAUCAUAACCUUUUAUAAUUUCGGCUAGUUUUGUGUCUUUUAAAAAAAUUACAUUGGAUAGUUAUUUCAGGAUACAGUGUGUUAUGGGUUAAAUUGUGUCCCCCUUUCAAAUUCAUGUGUUAAAGACCUCACUUCCAGUAUUUUAUAAUGUGACCUUAUUUGGAAACAGGGUUGUUGUGGAUAUGAUUAGUUAACAUGAGGUCAUAUUAAAGUAGCGUCUACUGUACUCCAAUAUGACUGAUGUCCUCAUAAAAAGAACGCUAAGUGUGCAGACAGACACGGACAUGGAAAACGUCAUGUGAAGACUGGCGGGGGCAUGCUGCCACAAGCCAAGGAAUGCCUAGACGCUGAGAUGCAUUAACAGGCUCCCAUCACAGCUCUCAGAAGGAAUCAACCCUGCCAAUACCUUGAUUUGGGACUUCCAGUCAGACCUCUGACAAUAAAUUUGUUUAAGCUGCCUAGUUUGCAGUAUUUUGUUCCUGCAGCCCUAGCACAUCAACAGUGAAAAGAAUAUGGAUUCUGAUGCCAGCCUUUAGUCUUUGCCCUGCUGCACGAUUAUUUUUGACUUUUGACGAGUAAUUUCCACAUUCUCAUGCUUAAAAUUCAAUUUAGAAUAACUUUUACUUUAUUGGAUUCCUUUGGGGAUUAAAUUAGUUACAAAAGAUGUAAAGCGACUGAUCCUCAAAAUGAUUUCUUUCCC
rnacentral:lncRNA from 1 species